rnacentral:rRNA from 1 species
UACGAGAGGCCCAAGCGUUAUUCGGAAUUACUGGGCUUAAAGAGUUCGUAGGCGGCAUGAAAAGUAGGGUGUGAAAGCCCUCGGCUCAACCGAGGAAUUGCGCUCUAAACUGUCGUGCUCGAGGAACCUAGAGGUGAGCAGAACAGAUGGUGGAGCGGUGAAAUGCGUUGAUAUCAUCUGGAAUACCGGAGGCGAAGGCGGCUCACUGGGGGUUUUCUGACGCUGAGGAACGAAAGCCAGGGUAGCGAACGGG